CAUUCACUCAUUUAGCACGCAGUCCCCUGUUACCUGUAAAUCGCUAAUCUUCUUCUCACCAAAACUUCCAAUAAACGCUUUAAAGAUAUCAUCACUGGCACAGUCUUCAAAUUCUGGGCAGCUGCAUUAAACAGUUGUGCUGUAGGCUGGAGCUGCAGGAAUGAGCACGGUCUUGAUGAGUUACCUGUGAUCAUUUCCUUAUCAGCAGCUCUCAGUUUCGACAUAGUCACACAAACACUGCUCGUUUAGUUCCUAGGAACAAUAUGCAUCAAUAAAGAACAGUCGACAUUUCAGCAAGACCAACUUCUCUUGACACAGCAACAGAAACUCAUCCAUCGGCUGCGGUGAGGAUUCUGAGUACAACAUUAAAGGAGACAUUGGAGAAAACGUCUCUGUUGGUAACAUCGAAGAUAUUCAUGUUCAGGGGACAAACCACGGAUGCAUCGGAGGAAAGAACAACUACACAGUGACGGGACCGAUCCCAGCCAAUUCCAACAUUGGCAACGCCCGUAAUGUAACUGUUGGAAACAACUCAGGGUCCAUUGGUUCAGGGAACCGCAUCAACAUCAACUGAGAAUUCAGCAGCAACAAUGUCGAAGGUUGGAAACGUAGAGGGUGUUAACAUUGGAUACAACUGUGGGAAUGUCGGUGCUCACAAUGCAGUUGAUGUUCAAGGAGGUCUAGGAAAAGACUCCUCUCUUGGAAAUGUGUCCGACGUCAAGGUGUGUGGAACAAAUGCUGGGAAUAUUGGAGCACACAACGAGCUUGACGUAAAAGGGGGACUUCCAGAUAACGCAAGUGUUGGAAACACUUCUAAUGUGAAUGUUGGUCAAAACACCGGGAACAUCGGUUCUGGAAACAAGAUUAACAUCAGCUGAGGAAAUGAUCCUCUGAUGAUCAGCUCUUCCUAAAAUGAUGAAACAUUUGCUUUGCUGUCAGUACAUUGAAGGUUUUCCACCUCUGUGUUCAGAUAUCAAUCAUUCCAAAUCUGUAAACGUAAAUGUCACUCAUCAGAUGUAUGCAAAAGAAGAGUUGAAAUAAAGUCUAUCUACUGAACAAUA